rnacentral:lncRNA from 1 species
AACCUCAAGAUCUUAGAUAAUAGUAAAGUGUAAUAAGAAAUUAGGAAAUUAUGAGUUUUUAAUAUAAUUUAUUUAAUUGUGAGUUUGUACAUUUAAUUUGUAACAUUAGUUAUUAGAAGAAGUUUCCAAUCAAUUUGGAGUCAAUGUGAUGGUUUUUUUCCAGCUUUCAUAGGUCACUACAAUCCAGUGCCAACACAGCAUUGGGUGGAUCCCAUGAGAUUUCAAAUUCCACAAAGAAAAAAUCUACUUGGUCCUCAACAUUACUUCCAAGAUUGCUGGAGUUCACUGUACCAAUAAAAACUCAUGGACAAGAAAACAGAAACUAGAAGUGAAGGACUUCAAUAUCCAAGAAGAUGGUGUAGCCUCAAGAUAGAAAAAGCCCACACUUCUGAAACAUCAUUUGAAAGGCUGCUGAAGACCUACAUCACAUGGUGAUAUGAAAUAAAAAUAAACUUCUAUUAAGUUAAGCCUAUGAGCUUUCAGGCUUUAUCUACAGAGAUCUCAGCUCUCUCUGCUUUAAGAACUGCAAUGGCUACAAGGCAAAUUAAUACCUUAUUAGUCCUGUAUUGUUUGUUGCUUUUGAAUCACCAAAGUGAUUUUAACGUGUGAUUGCUUGCCAAAUUUUCUAAACAGACAGUAGGAUGAAUUGGUUGCUGGAGGCUCCAACUGCCCCUAACCAUCUGAGCGAUGCACCCAUUAUGCACUAAUCCUAAACAACUAAUGAAUUUCCCCAGGAGCAUUUGAUGUCCUCUCAUAUAGAGGUUAUCAAACUACAGCCCACAGACCAAAUCCAGCCCACCAUCUCUUCUGAUGGCAGCUGCCACAUCAUGAGGAUAUCAAGACAUCCUAUGGUGAGGCCUGUGUGACAGGAAACUGAGGCCUCCUGCCAAAAGCCCUGCGAAUGAGCCAUCAAAAAAGUGGAUCAUCCAGUCCCAUUCAAGCCUUCAGAUGACUGCAGCCCUGUCCAACAGCCUGAUUGCAACCUCAUAAGGGGCACUGGGCCAGAACUACCCAGCUAAGCAACUCCCAAAUUCCUGACCUACAGAGUCUGUGAGAUAAUAAAGGUUUGUUGUUUUAAGCCAUU